rnacentral:rRNA from 1 species
GACGAACGCUGGCGGCGUGCUUAACACAUGCAAGUCGAACGGAAAGGCCCUGCUUUUGUGGGGUGCUCGAGUGGCGAACGGGUGAGUAACACGUGAGUAACCUGCCCUUGACUUUGGGAUAACUUCAGGAAACUGGGGCUAAUACCGGAUAGGAGCUCCUGCUGCAUGGUGGGGGUUGGAAAGUUUCGGCGGUUGGGGAUGGACUCGCGGCUUAUCAGCUUGUUGGUGGGGUAGUGGCUUACCAAGGCUUUGACGGGUAGCCGGCCUGAGAGGGUGACCGGCCACAUUGGGACUGAGAUACGGCCCAGUGUCCAACGGGAGGCAGCAGUGGGGAAUAUUGCACAAUGGGCGGGAGCCUGAUGCAGCAACGCCGCGUGCGGGAUGACGGCCUGCGGGUUGUAAACCGCUUUCGCCUGUGACGAAGCGGGAGUGACGGUAAUGGGUAAAGAAGCACCGGCUAACUACGUG